UACGGGGGGGGCAAGCGUUGUUCGGAAUUACUGGGCGUAAAGGGCGUGUAGGCGGCCUAGCAAGUCAGCUGUGAAAGCCCCAGGCUCAACCUGGGAAUUGCAUCUGAAACUGCCGGGCUAGAGUUCAGGAGAGGAGGGCGGAACUCCCAGUGUAGCGGUGAAAUGCGUAGAUAUCGGGAGGAACAUCUGUGGCGAAGGCGACACCCUGGACCAGCACUGACACUGAGGCACGAAAGCGUGGGGAGCAAACAGG
rnacentral:rRNA from 1 species